AACGCGAAGAACCUUACCUGGGCUUGAAAGUUAGUGACCGCUCCUGAAAGGGAGCUUUCCGAAAGGACACGAAACUAGGUGCUGCAUGGCUGUCGUCAGCUCGUGCCGUGAGGUGUUGGGUUAAGUCCUGUAACGAGCGCAACCCCUACCAUUAGUUGCCAGCGAGUAAUGUCGGGGACUCUAGUGGAACUGCCUGCGUAAGCAGUGAGGAAGGUGGGGACGACGUCAAGUCAUCACGGCCCUUACGUCCAGGGCUACACACGUGCUACAAUGGCCGAAACAAUGGGCAGCUACUUGGUAACAAGAUGCUAAUCUCUAAAUUCGGUCUCAGUUCGGAUAGAGGUCUGCAAUUCGACCUCUUGAAGUUGGAUUCGCUAGUAAUCGCGCAUCAGCAAUGGCGCGGUGAAUACGUUCCCGGGCCUUGUA
rnacentral:rRNA from 1 species